UUCCAUACUCUUUCACCUUUUGGGAUUCUCAUCUCAUAGAGGGUAAUAUCACAAACCUUCCAAAUUAGCAUUUACCCUUUGGGGUGAGACUUGAGAGAUGGAACCUUCAACAUCGUGUUAUCCAGAUGAGUUUCUUCUUUCUCGAGAUAAUCACCAAAGAGUGGGUUUUGGCUAAUAGACACUGAUGCCCGGAAGACCAAUGAAAAUGAAGAGCCAGAGUCAAGAUCCCGAUUCCUUUCCUGCCAUCACUUCC